rnacentral:rRNA from 1 species
AUGAACGCUAGCGGGAGGCCUAACACAUGCAAGCCGAGCGGUAGAGAUCUUUCGGGAUCUUGAGAGCGGCGUACGGGUGCGGAACACGUGUGCAACCUGCCUUUAUCAGGGGGAUAGCCUUUCGAAAGGAAGAUUAAUACCCCAUAAUAUAAGAAACGGCACCGUUUUUUAUUGAAAACUCCGGUGGAUAGAGAUGGGCACGCGCAAGAUUAGAUAGUUGGUGAGGUAACGGCUCACCAAGUCUACGAUCGUUAGGGGGCCUGAGAGGGUGAUCCCCCACACUGGUACUGAGACACGGACCAGACUCCUACGGGAGGCAGCAGUGAGGAAUAUUGGACAAUGGGUGCGAGCCUGAUCCAGCCAUCCCGCGUGAAGGACGACGGCCCUAUGGGUUGUAAACUUCUUUUGUAUAGGGAUAAACCUACCCUCGUGAGGGUAGCUGAAGGUACUAUACGAAUAAGCACCGGCUAACUCCGUGCCAGCAGCCGCAGUAACAC